ACCCAACUGCUAUCGGGGUGGGACUAAGCCAUGCGAGUUGUGCGUUUCCUAGCCACGGUGGAAGCGCAGCGCACGGCUCAGUAACACGUGGCUAACUUACCCUCAAGACGGGGACAACCUCGGGAAACUGAGGCUAAUAUCUGAUAGGUGGGGAGGCCUGGAAUGGUCCCUCACCGAAAAGGAGCUAGCGGCAUGCUUGCUAGUUUCGCUUGAGGAUAGGGCCGCGUCCGAUCAGGUCGCUGGUGAGGUAAUGGCUCACCAGGCCUAUAACCGGUACGGGCCGUGAGAGCGGUAGCCCGGAGAUGGGCACUGAGAUAAGGGCCCAGGCCCUACGGGGCGCAGCAGGCGCGAAAACUUCGCAAUGCGCGAAAGCGUGACGAGGUCACUCCGAGUGCCGUCCGCCGAGGAUGGCUUUUGCUUGGUUUAACCAGCCGGGUGAAUAAGGGGAGGGCAAGUCUGGUGUCAGCCGCCGCGGUAAUACCAGCUCCCCGAGUGGUUGGGACGAUUAUUGGGUCUGAAGCGUCCGUAGCCGGCCGGAAAAGUUCCCCGUUAAAUCUGGCGAUCCAAUCGUUGGGCUGCGGGGAAUACUCUUCGGCUUGGGGGCGAGGGAGGUCGGCGGUAGUCCCGGGGUAGGGGCGAAAUCCUAUAGUCCCGGGAGGACCACCAGUGGCGAAGGCGGGCCGACUAAAACGCGCCCGACGGUGAGGGACGAAAGCUGGGGGGAGCGAACGGGAUUAGAUACCCCGGUAGUCCCAGCUGUAAACGAUGCAGGCUUAGGUGUUGGGACGGCUACGAGCUGUCCAGUGCCGCAGGGAAGCCAUUAAGCCUGCCACCUGGGAAGUACGGCCGCAAGG
rnacentral:rRNA from 1 species